CCUGGCAACAAAGGGAUUGGACAUGCGCGUUCCUGCGAGCACGCUGUUUUUUCUUUUUCUCCUUGAAAAAAUACGCUAUUGUCCGGGCAUCAUCUGUGAAAUCGUGUGUGAAAAUUAGAAUCCACUUGUAAAAGACCUAUCUGCUGCCUUUGAUACUGUGAACCAUCAGAUCCUCCUCUCCACCCUCUCCGAGUUGGGUAUCUCCGGCGCGGCUCACUCUUGGAUUGCGUCCUACCUGACAGGUCGCUCCUACCAGGUGGCGAAUCGCAUCUCUGCAUGUCUGGCAGACAUAUCAGUGUGGAUGACGGAUCACCACCUCAAGCUGAACCUCGGCAAGACGGAGCUGCUCUUCCUCCCGGGGAAGGACUGCCCGUUCCAUGAUCUCGCCAUCACGGUUGACAACUCCAUUGUGUCCUCCUCCCAGAGUGCUAAGAGCCUUGGCGUGACCCUGGACAACACCCUGUUGUUCUCCGCUAACAUCAAGGCGGUGACCCGAUCCUGGAGGUUCAUGCUAUACAACAUUCGCAGAGUAUGACCCUGCCUUACACAGGAAGUGGCGCAGGUCCUAAUCCAGGCACUUGUCAUCUCCCGUCUGGAUUACUGCAACUCCCUGUUGGCGGGGCUCCCUGCCUGUGCCAUUAAACCCCUACAACUCAUCCAGAACGCCGCAGCCCGUCUGGUGUUCAACCUUCCCAAGUUCUCUCACGUCACCCCGCUCCUCCGCACACUCCACUGGCUUCCAGUUGAAGCUCACAUCUGCUACAAGACCAUGGUGCUUGCCUACGGAGCUGUGAGGGGAACGGCACCUCCGUACCUUCAGGCUCUGAUCAGGCCCUACACCCAAACAAGGGCACUGCGUUCAUCCACCUCUGGCCUGCUGGCCCCCCUACCUCUGCGGAAGCACAGUUCCCGCUCAGCCCAGUCAAAACUGUUCGCUGCCCUGGCACCCCAAUGGUGGAACAACUCCCUCACGACGCCAGGACAGCGGAGUCAAUCACCACCUUCCGUAGACACCUGAAACCCCACCUCUUUAAGGAAUACCUGGGAUAGGAUAUAGUAAUCCUUCUAUAGGCAUGUGUUUGUAUUAGUGUUUUGUGGGAGAUGUUUCUGUGUAUAGCUUCAAGCCUUACAGGACUGUUAUUCGUCGUUGUUUCUUUUUGUGUACGUGUUUAUUUUUGGUUCACCUUCUUUGCCAACUAAAUAAAAAAGAAGAUGAGUGCACAUUUCCCUGCUGCGUCUUGGUCCGCUUUAUCCGACAACAACCGUUACAGAAUCUCCCACCAACCAAGGACCAAGCAGCGGGGUAAGGAGCAAGGGAACAAUUAUAUGGACUAUCAGGGGAAUUGGACAUGGGAGGAAAUUUUGGACGGGGCUGAACCUUGGCAUCAGGCUGGGGAAUACCGUCGCCCACGGGAGGAAAUAGAGGCAGCCAAGGCGGAGAGGCGUCGGUACGAGGCUUUGUAUGCGCUGAGGGAGAAGCACGAGAGGCACCCCCAAUCAUUUUUUUGGGGGGGGCACAUGGGUAGUUUGGCUAGGCCAAGGGUGAGCCCUAAGCCAGCUCCCCGUGCUUUUUGGGAAGGACGUAUGGAGUGGAGAGCGCCUAGGUAUGCGGAAGUACGCACGAUCUUGCCCAUACGCACGCACAGUCUGGUGCGAGUGAUCCCAACCCCUUGCAAAUGCCGUGCUAGAGUGGGCAUCCAGCCUGGUAGGAGGAUGCCUGCGCAGCGCAUCUGGCCACCGGUGCGCCUCCUAGGUCCAGGCUACCCUACGCCCGCUCUACGCACGGCAACCAUCAGGCCCCUGCACAGCCCAGUUCGCCCUGUACUAGCACUCCGCUCGUACAGGGCUACUAGUUCCAUCCAGCCAGGACGGGUUGUGCAGGAGGUGCGAUCGAGACCGCCAGUGCUUCUCCACGGCCCGGUAUAUCCAGUACCAGCACCAUGCACCAGGCCUCCAAUACGUCAGCCCAGUCCAACUCAGCCUGUUCCCGCUCCUCGCACUAGCCUUAAAGUGCGUGUCUCCAGUCUGGCAGCUCCACUACCAGCCCCACGCACCAGGCUUCCAGUGCGUCAGCUCAGUCUCGAGCUUCCGACAACAGUUUCCUGUCCAGAGUAUCCGGCAACAGUGUCCAGUCCAGAGUAUCAGGCAACAGCGUCCAGUCCGGAACCGAGUGAGUCUGGCUGCAGUCCGGAACCGAGUGAGUCUGCCUGCAGUCUGGAGCUAGAGUCGGUCUACAGUCCGGAGCCCCCAGAGACGCUCUGCAGCCCUGAGUAUUCUGCAGGGGUGGACAGGUUGGGUGGGGGUAGUAGACCGGAACCUGAGCCACCUCCAGUAUAGGUGGCUCCCCUCCCUUUAGUUUAGGGGGAUUUUUUUUGUUUUGGGGGGUGUCGUGUCUUUGGGGGUACCAUUAAACUGAAGAUAUGUUUAUCAAUUAGCUCCCUGUAAUUAUUAUCACGCAAUUACAUUGAUUAAUCGUUUAAUUGUAAUUAACUAGGAGAUCGGGGCACCAAGGAGAAUAUUCAGAUUACAAAGCUAUAAUUUUCCUAAUAUAACUUUCCU
rnacentral:lncRNA from 1 species